rnacentral:rRNA from 1 species
GACGAACGCUGGCGGCGUGCUUAACACAUGCAAGUCGAACGGUGAAAGCGGAGCUUGCUCCGCUGGAUCAGUGGCGAACGGGUGAGUAACACGUGGGCAACCUGCCCCUCACUUCGGGAUAGCUCCGGGAAACCGGGGCUAAUACCGGAUAUGACCUCCUUGGGCAUCCUUGGAGGUGGAAAGUUUUUCGGUGAGGGAUGGGCCCGCGGCCUAUCAGCUUGUUGGUGAGGUAGUGGCUCACCAAGGCGACGACGGGUAGCCGGCCUGAGAGGGCGACCGGCCACACUGGGACUGAGACACGGCCCAGACUCCUACGGGAGGCUGCAGUGGGGAAUAUUGCGCAAUGGGCGAAAGCCUGACGCAGCAACGCCGCGUGCGGGAUGACGGCCUUCGGGUUGUAAACCGCUUUCAGCAGGGAAGAAGCCGCAAGGUGACGGUACCUGCAGAAGAAGCACCGGCUAACUACGUGCCAGCAGCCGCCGUAA